CACGUAGGGCGCAAGCGUUGUCCGGAAUUAUUGGGCGUAAAGAGCUCGUAGGCGGUUUGUCGCGUCUGCCGUGAAAGUCCGGGGCUCAACUCCGGAUCUGCGGUGGGUACGGGCAGACUAGAGUGCAGUAGGGGAGACUGGAAUUCCUGGUGUAGCGGUGAAAUGCGCAGAUAUCAGGAGGAACACCGAUGGCGAAGGCAGGUCUCUGGGCUGUAACUGACGCUGAGGAGCGAAAGCAUGGGGAGCGAACAGG
rnacentral:rRNA from 1 species